rnacentral:rRNA from 1 species
UACGUAGGGUGCAAGCGUUAAUCGGAAUUACUGGGCGUAAAGCGUGCGUAGGUGGUGAGUUAAGUCUGAUGUGAAAUCCCCGGGCUCAACCUGGGAAUGGCAUUGGAUACUGGCUCGCUAGAGUGCGGUAGAGGGUGGUGGAAUUCCCGGUGUAGCAGUGAAAUGCGUAGAGAUCGGGAGGAACAUCUGUGGCGAAGGCGGCCACCUGGACCAACACUGACACUGAGGCACGAAAGCGUGGGGAGCAAACAGG